rnacentral:misc_RNA from 1 species
UUGAAACAGAGAAGGCUGUGGGAGAAGAAACUACUAAAGAAAAGCAGGCAGAUGACACAGAGAAGGCUGCGGGAGAAGAACCUGCUAAAGAAAAGCAGGCAGAUGACGCGAAAAGUACAGUUGAGCCGUUCACACCAGUGAGUUCGUUUCAACAGUUGUCUAGCAGUCAAAAUGCUUUUACUGGCCUUGCAGGAACUGGAUUCUCAACGUCUUCAUUUUCUUUUGGAUCAUUUGCCAAAGAGGGCUCUACGUUCAGUACUGGAUCCUUUUUCGAGUCUAAGAAUGGAAGUGCAUCAUUCUCUACAUUUGCAACUGGAAGCUCUAACAAUGGUAGUCCUCCCUUUUCAUUGUUUGGUAUUCCUGCAUCAGAUGCCACUAAGAAUGGGGGGAUGGCUACCAUAACUCCGAUGCAGGAUGUGCCUAUUGAGACCGGUGAAGAGAAUGAGAAGGCAGUAUUUACUUCUGAUGCGGUAUUGUACGAGUAUUUAGAUGGAGGGUGGAAAGAACGUGGAAAGGGUGAACUCAAAGUGAACAUCUCUAUAUCUGAUACCGAGAAAGCAAGGCUUGUUAUGAGGGCUCGGGGUAACUAUAGGCUGAUCUUGAAUGCAAGUCUGUAUGCUGAUAUGACACUUACGAAUAUGGAUAAAAAGGGCGUCACUUUUGCUUGUGUGAAUAGUGCUGGAGAAGGAAAGAGUGGGCUGACUACUUUUGCUCUGAAAUUUCGGGAUAGUGCUCUCAUGGAGGAGUUCCGAGGAGUUGUGACAGCACACAAAGGAAAGG